rnacentral:lncRNA from 10 species
GGGUUUCCUGCAGCCAAAGAGCCAUGAGUCACAGCAGCUGGCUCAAGGCUGGGAGGGGAAGUAAAACACUAAAUCUAAGGACCACUCUAUUCACCCUACAGUGACUGCUCUUUUUCCCUCCUGCCACAGUCCAGGGUAGGAGAUACUUCUCCAGGCUCUCACUUAUGGGGGCUUUCCUGCUGGCUACAUCACUGAAAUGGAAUCUCCUAGUGGCCCUUCUCCCUCUACAGCUCUGGUGUUACACUGAAAAACUAGAAGUUUCAAAACAGACAAGGGAAAAAGAGAAACAUCAGAAAGUCUGAUUAAAGUAGAAGCAUCAUAUUUCUAUCAACGUAUCCACUGUGCUUGGCAGGGGAUGGGCCCUUCUGCUGCAGCAUAAGAGGGGUCAUUCAAUGGCCUGUGUCAGCUACUGGGAUGGACCUGCUGUCCAUGGGAUACUGACACCCACUAGUGAAGCAGAUCUUGCUCUGUCUCUUCUCUGUGACUCUGUAAUAUUCACCGGCAGGAAAACCCAAGGGAAUGACUACUAUGACAUCUGAUGCCUAGAUUCAAGCCAUGCAAAGAAGGCCUCUGAGCUCAGCUCUCAACUGAUGCUUUUUGAAUUGAGCAGAGUGACCUUGCUGAAAAAGUCUCACGGUGUUGCCCAGGCUGAAUACAAUCGUGCAAUCAUGACUCUCUGCAGACUUGACAUCCUGGGCUCAUCAAGCAAUCCUCCUGCCUCAGCCUCCCGAAUAGCUGAGACUACAGGCACCCACCACCACAUCACACUCUACAAAAAAUUUCUGUUUUUUUGUAGAGAUGGGGUCUUGCUAUAUUGCCCAGGGUGGUCUCAAACUCCUGACUUCAAGUAAUCCUCCUGCCUUGGCCUCCCAAGGUGCUGGGAUUACAGGUGUGACCCACCACACCUGGCCAACUGCAGGGAUUCUUUAUUUGAAGAUCAUGGAUAGGUUUCAGGAAAUAUGUGAACACUCUGAAAUGUAUACCCUAGUUCUGUUUGUGUGAGUAUUAACUUUGAUCAGAUUUUCAGAGAGGUCUGUGACCAACUUCCUGCACUAAAAAAUGUUUACAAACCACUGCUCCACAGGAUAAAGUUCAAACCUCUCAGUCUAAAGGAAAUACAAAGCCAUUCAUGACACAGUUUUUACAUACACCAUCUUCAUUUUGGAUUUCUCAGCCCCAAUUGCUUGAACAUGUCUUGCCGUUUCUUAUCUCCUUGCCUUUGCUCAAGCUGUGUCCUCUGUCUUGAAGAUCCUCUUUUUCUCAUUCUUUCCAGGGAUCUCCCUCCCUUGGUUAAGUCCCAGUUAACUAGUAUAACUUCAUUCAAGAGUUUCUUCUUCCAGGAGCUUCCCAAUAUGAUUUGGCUGUGGGCCCCACCCAAAUCUCAUGUUGAAUUGUGAUCCCCAGAGUUGGAGGUAGACGUGGUGGGAGAUGGUUGGAUCAUGGGGGUGGUUUCUAAUGGUUUAACACUGUCUCCUAGUGUUGUUUUGUGACAGAGUUCUCACAAGAUCUUGUUGUUUGAAAGUGUGUAACACCUCCUACUUCGUGCACUUUCUCUUUUCCCUUCUUCACCAUGUGAAGAUGUGCCUGCUUCUCCUUCACCUUCUGCCAUAAUUGAAUGUUUCCUGAGGCCUCCCCAGCCAUGCUUCCUGUAUAGCCUGCAGAACGGUGAGCCAAUUAAACCCAUUUUCUUUAUAAAUUACCCAGUCUCAAGUAUUUCUUUAUAGCAAUGUGAGAAUGAACUAAUACACUUCCUCUGACCCUCUCCUCCACACCCAUGCUGGGGAGAUGUUCUUCCGUGGGAUCCCACAAUCGACAUCCAUCUGGCUCUCUAGAAUUGCACUGUUCAUGUAGUGCUCACAGAGAUGAAAGCUCUUUGAGAACAAGACCACACAUUAUCGCUUUCUUCCUCUCCUUUUCUCAAGCAGUGGUUCUUGGGGACUGCAGCAUCUCACCUUCAUAGAAACUCAACACUCAGACCUCACCCCAGACCUACUGAAUCAGAAACUCUGAGGUUGGGGCCAGUGAGCUGUGCUUUAACAAGCCCUGCAGGUGAUCCUGAUGCCCGCUGAAGCCUGGGAACCAUAGUCCUGAAAAAACGUCCCUGGCUCUUGUCUGUUCUGUUGUGAUAGCUCCUAACUGGGCUUCCUGCUUCCUCCUCUGUCACCUUCCAAUCUAUUCUUCAUCCUAGAGCCAGAAUUAUCUUUCUACAACAUGGAAGGAAGGGCCCUCCUCAAGAGCCUUCAGUGGCUUCCAUUUGCACCUAUAAUUAAAUCCUGAUCCCUCACCAUGACCUACAGGACCCUGUGUGACCUGGCCCUGCAUCUCUCCUAUGCUGACCCCCUACCACCAGGCACGAUGGUCUGCUUUCAGCUUCUGAGGUCAACCAUCCCUUCUUGCCUCAGGCCAUGUGCUGGGAUGGGGAGAGGAAUAUGGAAACAGAAGGUUCAAGAACCCACCAAUUCAAUCCCCAUAGAUCAACCUCUUGAAUACAGAGCAGAUGAGGAAAGGUAAUGUAUGGAUCUAGAGGGGCAAAUGAAAGGUAUUCUGCAUGGACCGUGAUAUAGUGUGGAUGUGUGUCCCUACCCAAAUUUCACGUUGAAAUGUAUCCCCUAUGUUGGAGGUGGGGCCUGGUUGGAGGUGACUGGAUCAUGGGGGUGGAUUUAUCAUAAAUGAUUUAGUACCAUACCCUUAGUUCUGUCCUCAUGAUAGUGAGUUUUCGCAUCUUGUGAGAGAUGUCAUUUAAAAGUGUGUGGCAUGCUCCCCACUCCCUCUCUUGCUCCUGUUCUGGCUAUGUGUUGUGCCUGCUCCCCCUUCACCUUCCACCAUGAUUGUAAGUUUCCUGAGGCCUCCCCAGAAGCCAAGUAGAUGCCAGCAUCAUACUCUCUUUACAGCCUAUGGAAUCGUGAACCAGUUAAACCUCUUUUCUGUAUAAAUUACCCAUCCACAGGCAUUUCUUUACAGCAAUGUGAGAAUGGCCUAAUAUGGACUGGAAGGAUAUGCAGACUUUUCCUGGAAAGCAGAGUUGAGGAAGGACAUCCCAUCGAGGGAAAGAAUGUGCAAUCUUUUUGUGUGGAACGCUCAGAACAUUCUAAGUACUUUGGCAUAGCAAAGGCAUAGGGAAUGAGAGACAGCAUGGUAGGAAAUAAAAAUGUGUUCAGAGAGUGGCAGGGGCUGGCUCAUGGACAGCUAAGGCAGGGAGCACUAUUCUGCAGGCACAGGGGACCAUGAAGGGCAGUUAAGUAUGGACUUCCUAUGACUGCAGAGUGGGUAACGAUUCGAGGAAAGGGAAGGGGUCUAGAGGCAGGGGUCUCCUUGGGAGGCACUGCAACCAUCCUACAGAGAUGAGGGUGAGGGUCGGAAGAAGCAGAAGCCUACCCUCUCUUAAGCAAGAUGAAGACAAACGAGACCCGUGGACUCCAUGGAGGCUGGAUCUACAUCACCAUAGUGCCAUUGCCUUCCUUCAAGGGCAAGUGAGGAACAGGUACAAGAACUAACAAUGAACAGAACAAAGGGGUGUGUGAUCCAGUCCUUGCUCUGUUCACUGAGCUCUGCCCAGCGGCUGGUUGCUUUCACACGAGGAAAACCUUUUUUUCUGCUCUCUUGGCACAAAUUGCUGGAGCUGAAUGUACCAGGGUGGGUGAAGGGGAGGAUGAGGUCAGAGAGGUAACAGGGCCAGGCAAGCCAUUGUCAGGAUUUUGGAUUUUACUGUGUACGGAAUGUGUUUGCCAGAACAAUGCGGGAGUUGCAGAGAGAGGUGUCCUGUGUUUGUUCCCAGUCUUCCUUCACUCACCUGCACCUGCUCCUGCCCUGCUUCGGCCAACAUGUUCUAUGCAGGGUGGUUUUGCUGAUGAGACAGCUGCAGUUUGGGGAGUGUGAUAUCAAGGAAAGCAGUGUCUUGAGUCUGUCACUUUCUCUCUCUGUCCCAUUGGCUGCUCACUGAUGUCACUUAGAGGAAGGCAGGGGCACAAGAUGGGAGGACCCAGAGCUCCGGGUUCUUAAUGAAUUUUUGCCACCUUCAAUGAGAAAGACUGAAACAAAAAACUCAGAAGAAAGAAAGAGACUGAGAUAGCAAAUAUGACAAACUGUUAAAAAUUCAUGAAUCUGUUAUGGAAUACUAUGCAGCCAUAAAAAAGGAUGAGUUCCUGUCCUUUGCAAGGACGUGUAUGAAGCUGGAAACCAUCAUUCUGAGCAAACUAAAACAGGAACAGAAAACCAAACACCACAUGUUCUCACUCAUAAGUGGGAGUUGAACAAUGAGAACACAUGGACACGGCGGGGUGGUGGGAACAUCACACACCGGGGCCUGUCAGAGGGGAGGGGGCUAGGGGAGAGAUAGCAUUAGGAGAAAUACCUAAUGUAGAUGAUGGGUUGAUGGGUGCAGCAAACCACCAUGGCAUGUGUAUACCUAUGUAACAAACCUGCAUGUUCUGCACAUGUAUCCCAGAACUUAAAGUAUAAUAAUAAAAAGAGAGAUUAAAAAAAUUGGUGAAUCUGGGCAAAAUGUACACAGGAUUUUUCUGUACUGUUCUUGCAACUUUUCUACAGAUUUGAAAUGUUACAAAAUAAAAGGUAUUUUUAGAAAAAGAG